rnacentral:rRNA from 1 species
GACAGAGGGGGCAAGCGUUGCUCGGAAUUACUGGGCGUAAAGGGCGCGUAGGCGGGAUGGCAAGUCGGUCGUGAAAUCCCUCGGCUCAACCGAGGAACGUCGAUCGAUACUGCUGUUCUUGAGGAUUGCAGAGGAGACUGGAAUUCCCGGUGUAGCGGUGAAAUGUGUAGAGAUCGGGAGGAACACCGGUGGCGAAGGCGGGUCACUGGCCCGGUACUGACGCUGAGGUGCGAAAGCGUGGGGAGCAAACAGG